rnacentral:rRNA from 1 species
AAAAAGCGUUAAAGCUUCAUUGUUUUUUAUCAAAAAAUACCACUAAUUAACUGUAACCCUUCACCUGUACUGAAUGAUCUCAUAGUUAUAUGAGAGCCUAUAUGUUAGAACUAGUAACAAGAAGAAGCCCUUCUCCAAAAUGUAAGCAUGAGCCAAAAUGAACUAUUCACUGGCAUUUAAAGUUAUAAACCUAUUGUAGCAACUUAACAAGAAAAAUCUACAAAUGCAAACGUCAACCUUACACCAGCACAUUUCUGGAAAGAUAAAAAGAAUAGGAAGGAACUCGGCAAAUAACUAACCCCGCCUGUUUACCAAAAACAUCGCCUCCUGAUCAUCCAUAGGAGGUCCAGCCUGCCCAGUGACUAAGUUAAACGGCCGCGGUACCCUAACCGUGCAAAGGUAGCGCAAUCACUUGUUCUUUAAAUGAGGACUAGUAUGAACGGCAUCACGAGGGUUAUGCUGUCUCCCUACUCUACUCAGUGAAACUGAUCUCCCCGUGAAGAAGCGGGGAUAAAAAUAUAAGACGAGAAGACCCCAUGGAGCUUUAAACUCAGUGCCAACUGCCCUAAUAAUAACCUAUUACCCUUGCAGCCAUGGUUACUAGUUUUCGGUUGGGGUGACCACGGAGUAAAAUUUAACCUCCACGAUGAAAGGAACUAAUAUCCUAACCUAUGAGCUACAGCUCUAAGUAUCAACAAAUUGACUAAUUGACCCAAUUACUUGAUCAACGAACCAAGUUACCCUGGGGAUAACAGCGCAAUCCAUUUCAAGAGCUCAUAUCGACAAAUGGGUUUACGACCUCGAUGUUGGAUCAGGGUAUCCCAGUGGCGCAGCCGCUACUAACGGUUC